UAAAAAUUGGUUAGAAAAUGAACUUGAUUCACAUAAAUUCAUUGAUGAAAUGGCAACGGAGUGGAGUGAUGAUCUGGUAUAUUAUAUUUUGGAAAACAAUAUACCUGAAAACUUUGUCAGUCAAAUAUUUAAUCGACAGUAUAAUCUGUGUAUUUUGCAUAGAUGGUACAACACAAAGAAGUGGAAAUUAAUUUGGAGAGAACUUUUCACAGAUAUUAAACAAUAUAUUAAAAACAUUGAGCCUAAUGUGUGAGUAACUUAUAAAGGUACCGAUGUGACGGGACUUGGAAGAACAAGACUUAGAGAGGAGGAUUUAUGAUGUUUAGAUCGUGUUGUUACACCAAGAUUAAUAUGUUUCAUUCAUUAAAAAGAGAAAUGUUUAAUAAAAAUUUUUAAGACA